UGAGCAAUCUGCCCUUGACUCUGGGAUAAGCCUGGGAAACUGGGUCUAAUACCGGAUAUGACUCCUCAUCGCAUGGUGGGGGGUGGAAAGCUUUAUUGUGGUUUUGGAUGGACUCGCGGCCUAUCAGCUUGUUGGUGAGGUAAUGGCUCACAAGGCGACGACGGGUAGCCGGCCUGAGAGGGUGACCGGCCACACUGGGACUGAGACACGGCCCAGACUCCGUACGGGAGCAG
rnacentral:rRNA from 1 species